rnacentral:lncRNA from 1 species
CUACGCUCACACCAUUAUCUCGGGGGCUUGGAAUAUUUCGACCCUCUGCUCAGGGGUCGGGCGCACCCGACCCCAGAACUUGGGGUCGGGCGAGGUGGAGCUUCCCCCCUCAAGGGGUCGGGCGCACCUGACCCCAGAACUUGGGGUCGGGCGAGGCGGAGUUCCCCCCCCAAGGGUCGGCCUUAGCCGACCCCGGGACUUUGGGUCAGACAAGACAACGUAAAAUUACUCUUCACAAGACAAUCACCUCAAGCAACAAACCAAUGGGCAAGUAUUCAUUUGUCAAAAGUAUCGUUCAAAGUACUCGACGCAUAUUCAAGAGUACAUACAAACCUCAAGGCUCUUUUGGAGAGACAAACUCUGACAUCUUCGAUGCAAUAGGCUCCGCCUCCUAGAGGUACUGCGCAUAUGCCUCUUCUGUGCAGUUGCGAGCCACGCC